GGAGCGGUAGUUCAGUUGGUUAGAAUACCGGCCUGUCACGCCGGGGGUCGCGGGUUCGCGCCCCGUCCGCUCCGCCA
rnacentral:tRNA from 1 species